rfam:Hydrogenibacillus schlegelii strain DSM 2000 scaffold193, whole genome shotgun sequence.
GAACGCCGUGUAAAGGGAAACUUUCACGCACGGUGUGGACCGGGGGAAAAGGGGGAGGGGCGACAACCCCAAACCCUUACCUAUCGGUAU